rnacentral:rRNA from 1 species
GAUCAUGGCUCAGAUUGAACGCUGGCGGCAGGCUUAACACAUGCAAGUCGAACGGUAGCAGGAGAAAGCUUGCUUUCUUGCUGACGAGUGGCGGACGGGUGAGUAAUGCUUGGGAAUCUGGCCUAUGGAGGGGGAUAACUACGGGAAACUGUAGCUAAUACCGCGUAGUAUCGGAAGAUGAAAGUGCGGGACCGCAAGGCCGCAUGCCAUGAGAUGAGCCCAAGUGGG